AGACCCGAAACCCGGUGAUCUAGCCAUGGGCAGGUUGAAGGUUGGGUAACACUAACUGGAGGACCGAACCGACUAAUGUUGAAAAAUUAGCGGAUGACCUGUGGCUGGGGGUGAAAGGCCAAUCAAACCGGGAGAUAGCUGGUUCUCCCCGAAAGCUAUUUAGGUAGCGCCUCGUGAAUUCAUCUCCGGGGGUAGAGCACUGUUUCGGCUAGGGGGCCAUCCCGGCUUACCAACCCGAUGCAAACUGCGAAUACCGGAGAAUGUUAUCACGGGAGACACACGGCGGGUGCUAACGUCCGUCGUGAAGAGGGAAACAACCCAGACCGCCAGCUAAGGUCCCAAAGUCAUGGUUAAGUGGGAAACGAUGUGGGAAGGCCCAGACAGCCAGGAUGUUGGCUUAGAAGCAGCCAUCAUUUAAAGAAAGCGUAAUAGCUCACUGGUCGAGUCGGCCUGCGCGGAAGAUGUAACGGGGCUAAACCAUGCACCGAAGCUGCGGCAGCGAACGUAUCACCCAAGACAACUUUACGGAGUUGACGAUUGACGGAGCGAAGCGACGUCAAAGCGUUCAUUAAAGUCGAGUUGGCUUAGGGAUACGUUCGUUGGGUAGGGGAGCGUUCUGUAAGCCUGUGAAGGUGUGUCGUGAGGCAUGCUGGAGGUAUCAGAAGUGCGAAUGCUGACAUAAGUAACGAUAAAGCGGGUGAAAAGCCCGCUCGCCGGAAGACCAAGGGUUCCUGUCCAACGUUAAUCGGGGCAGGGUGAGUCGACCCCUAAGGCGAGGCCGAAAGGCGUAGUCGAUGGGAAACGGGUUAAUAUUCCCGUACUUGGUGUUACUGCGAAGGGGGGACGGAGAAGGCUAUGUUGGCCGGGCGACGGUUGUCCCGGUUUAAGCGUGUAGGUGUGUGUUCCAGGUAAAUCCGGUUCACUUUAACACUGAGGCGUGACGACGAGGCACUACGGUGCUGAAGCAACAAAUGCCCUGCUUCCAGGAAAAGCCUCUAAGCAUCAGGUAACACGAAAUCGUACCCCAAACCGACACAGGUGGUCAGGUAGAGAAUACCA
rnacentral:rRNA from 1 species